rnacentral:rRNA from 1 species
UGCGUAGGUGGUCGGGUAAGUCUGAUGUGAAAUCUCCGAGCUUAACUCGGAAACUGCAUCGGAUACUAUUCGGCUGGAGGGUUGGGAGGGGGGACUGGAAUACUUGGUGUAGCAGUGAAAUGCGUAGAUAUCAAGUGGAACACCAGUGGCGAAGGCGAGUCCCUGGACAACUCCUGACACUGAGGCACGAAAGGCUAGGGAAGCAAACA